rnacentral:sRNA from 23 species
CCUGCAAGUGUGCCAGCUUGCAGAACAUGCCUUGAGUAAACGCCUAGAUGUUGUAGGCAUUCUGGCUAGGGCUUGGCAACCCGACCUUUAAAGAGAGUGAAAGCAAGUAAAGCAGACCGUGCAUGUUAGGUUUGUGUGAUUGUGAGUAGUGCGGGCCACAGCGUAGACCACUGUGGC